UACGGAUGGUGCAAGCGUUACUCGUAAUCACUGGGCGGAAAGGAUGCGUAGGCUGGAAAUCAAGUCGAGAGUGCAAUCCAACGGCUCAACCGUUGAACUGCUCUCGAAACUGGUUACCUAGAAUAUGGGAGAGGUAGAUGGAAUUAGUGGUGUAGGGGUAACAUCCGUAGAUAUCACUAGGAAUAACGAUUGCGAAGGCGAUCUAAUGGAACAUUAUUGACGCGGAGGCAUGCAAUCGUGGGGAGCCCACAGGCGGCGAUCACACUGGAGUCC
rnacentral:rRNA from 1 species